UACGGGGGGGGCCAGCGUUGUUCGGAAUUAUUGGGCGUAAAGGGCGCGUAGGCGGCCCGGCAAGUCAGACGUGAAAGCCCACGGCUCAACCGUGGAACUGCGUUUGAAACUGCCGGGCUUGAGUCCCGGAGAGGGUAGUGGAAUUCCCAGUGUAGCGGUGAAAUGCGUAGAUACUGGGAGGAACACCGGUGGCGAAGGCGGCUACCUGGACGGGUACUGACGCUGAGUGCGCGAAAGCGUGGGGAGCAAACAGG
rnacentral:rRNA from 1 species